rfam:Legionella jordanis strain BL-540 Ljor_ctg011, whole genome shotgun sequence.
GGAGAGAUGGCCGAGCGGUUGAAGGCGCACGCCUGGAAAGUGUGUAUACGGCAACGUAUCGAGGGUUCGAAUCCCUCUCUCUCCG